rnacentral:tRNA from 1 species
GCCCGGGUGAUGGAACUGGUCAGACAUGGGGGACUUAAAAUCCCCUGCCCCUCGCGGGCGUGUGGGUUCGAUCCCCACCCCGGGCA